rnacentral:tRNA from 1 species
GGUUUAUUAGUUCAUCGGUUAGAAUGCCGGUUUGUCAGGCCGGAGAGGCGGGUUCGAUUCCCGCAUAAACCGCCA